GGCUUUGUGAAUGAUGUCAUCCAUAUUAUGCAGAAAUACGAUUUAGUAAGGAACAUUGAAAAACUAAUAUCGACAAGUAACUUUCCUGUGCAGAAGCAAUGGAAAUCGAUAGUUAAAAAACGUGUAUAUGAGUAUGAAGAGCACGUUCUUAAACAACGCCUAGAUAGUGUUAAUGUCAAGUAUAUGUGUCAACGCUAUGGAAGAC
rnacentral:lncRNA from 1 species